rnacentral:rRNA from 1 species
AUUGAACGCUGGCGGCAGGCCUAACUCAUGCAAGUCGAGCGGAGCGGCGGACGGGUGAGUAAUGCCUAGGAAUCUGCCUGGUAGUGGGGGAUAACGUCCGGAAACGGGCGCUCAUACCGCCUACUCUCAGCUGAGCCUAGGUCGGCUUAGCUAGUUGGUGGGGUAAAGGCCUACCAAGGCGACGAUCCGUAACUGGUCUGAGAGGAUGAUCAGUCACACUGGAACGUGGACACGGGCCAGACUCCGACGGGAGGCAGCAGGGGGGAAUAUUGGACAAUGGGCGAAAGCCUGAUACAGCCAUGCCGCGUGUGUGAAGAAGGUCUUCGGAUUGUAAAGCACUUUAAGUUGGGAGGCGUUACCAACAGAAUAAGCACCGGCUAACUUCGUGCCAGCAGCCGCGGUAAUUC